UACGUAGGGGGCCAGCGUUGUCCGAAGUUACUGGGCGUAAAGCGCACGCAGGCGGUUCGCCAAGUUUGGCGUGACAGUUGUCGGCUCAACCGACAAAGGACUUCAAAAACUGGUGAACUUGAGGACGAGAGAGGAACAUGGAACUCCAGGUGUAGUAGUGAAAUGCGUAGAUAUCUGGAAGAACACCAAUGGCGAAGGCAAUGUUCUGGCUCGUUUCUGACGCUCAGGUGCGAAAGCCAGGGGAGCGAACGGG
rnacentral:rRNA from 1 species